rnacentral:rRNA from 1 species
UACAGAGGGUGCUAGCGUUGUUCGGAAUUACUGGGCGUAAAGUGUGCGCAGGCGGCCGAGCAAGUCGAGUGUGAAAGCCCCGAGCUUAACUUGGGAACUGCGCUCGAAACUACUUGGCUAGAGUGUGGCAGAGGGAGGUGGAAUUCCACGUGUAGCGGUGAAAUGCGUAGAGAUGUGGAGGAACACCGAUGGCGAAGGCAGCCUCCUGGGCCAACACUGACGCUCAUGCACGAAAGCGUGGGGAGCAAACAGG